rnacentral:tRNA from 1 species
GGCUGAGUAGCUCAGUUGGUUAGAGCGCACGACUCAUAAUCGUGAGGUCGCGGGAUCGUACCCCGCCUCAGCUACCA